GGACAACCAAAAUGGCUGGCGUCAAGGGAGACGCCACCGCCCCCUGCUCGACGUCUUCCGGAAACUUAUUCGAGAAAAAAAAACAAUUAUUCUGUUUUAACGAAAAAUGAAAAGGCGAAGAUGAAGAUGGUGUUGCGGAACCCGUCCGCGUCAAGAGCGGUUUGUGAAGUGAUAAGUAGGGCGACUCCAACACGCGCAAAGUGUGCCAACGGGAUUCCGUUGAUUUCCAGUUUUGUUUAUUGGCGGCGCCACGAUCGAUAUCGACGUUGACUGACUAGGUUUUUUUUUAUUGGAUACGUUCUUUUAUUCAAUAAAUGUCAAAUUUUUUUU